CAACGUUCAGAAACCUCUCACCUUGCUCAAAUCUCCAACUAACCUGCAACCCAGUCAGUUAUAUCACAAAUAGAGAAAUUGCAAGAAGUUAUCAUAUAAAUACCUUGCCCAGCAAUAGCUUGCUGCUUUGUCUGCCUGUUCGGGUCUAAGGAGGCAAUGUACUGAGGACAGUUCCUCUUCCAGUGCCCCCACUUCUUGCAAAAGAAGCAUUCAGCUUGACUCUUAUCGAGCUUGAUCUUUUUGGUCUGGCCCUGCCCUGAUGUCCCAGCCUAAACUUGCACCUUCUUCACUUUCUUCUUCUGGUUCUUCUUCCCUUUCUUAAAGGGUCGAGAAUCAGAAGAUGAAUCUCCCACUAAGUUCACCGACUCCUUAUGGAGUUGGU
rnacentral:lncRNA from 1 species